GACGAACCGUGCGAACGUUGUUCGGAAUCACUGGGCUUAAAGGGCGCGUAGGCGGCCGAGUGGGUCGUGGGUGAAAUCCCCCAGCUUAACUGGGGAACUGCCUACGAUACCGCCCGGCUCGAGGGAGGAAGGGGCGGCCGGAACUGUCGGUGUAGCGGUGAAAUGCGUAGAUAUCGAGAGGAACACCUGCGGCGAAGGCGGGUUGCUGGGCUGAUACUGACGCUGAGGCGCGAAAGCCAGGGGAGCGAACGGG
rnacentral:rRNA from 1 species